GAUGAACGCUGGCGGCGUGCCUAAUACAUGCAAGUCGAGCGAACGGACGAGAAGCUUGCUUCUCUGAUGUUAGCGGCGGACGGGUGAGUAACACGUGGAUAACCUCCCUAUAAGACUGGGAUAACUUCGGGAAACCGGAGCUAAUACCGGAUAAUAUUUUGAACCGCAUGGUUCAAUAGUGAAAGACGGUCUUGCUGUCACUUAUCGAUGGAUCCGCGCUGCAUUAGCUAGUUGGUAAGGUAACGGCUUACCAAGGCAACGAUGCAUAGCCGACCUGAGAGGGUGAUCGGCCACACUGGAACUGAGACACGGUCCAGACUCCUACGGGAGGCAGCAGUAGGGAAUCUUCCGCAAUGGGCGAAAGCCUGACGGAGCAACGCCGCGUGAGUGAUGAAGGUCUUCGGAUCGUAAAACUCUGUUAUUAGGGAAGAACAUAUGUGUAAGUAACUGUGCACAUCUUGACGGUACCUAAUCAGAAAGCCACGGCUAACUACGUG
rnacentral:rRNA from 1 species